rnacentral:rRNA from 1 species
UACGGAGGGGGCUAGCGUUGUUCGGAAUUACUGGGCGUAAAGCGCACGUAGGCGGCUUUGUAAGUUAGAGGUGAAAGCCCAGGGCUCAACCCUGGAAUUGCCUUUAAGACUGCAUCGCUUGAAUCAUGGAGAGGUGAGUGGAAUUCCGAGUGUAGAGGUGAAAUUCGUAGAUAUUCGGAAGAACACCAGUGGCGAAGGCGACUCACUGGACAUGUAUUGACGCUGAGGUGCGAAAGCGUGGGGAGCAA